UAAGUUCUCCGAACAAAUCUAUACUUUAUGCAGUUCCAUUUACACGUUCUAUAAUACGAGUAGUUGGUAUUUUCGUGUCGAAGAGUUGGACCAAUACUUUAUCAGCAGCCAACUGAGUCCUAUUCCGACAAAUACGUUUCUUAAUGGAGUUUUCUUCCGUUGAUAUUUGCAGGGGUAUUCUAUUGUGGGGCGCCACCACCCGUGAAAGAAUUAAGACAACUUGCCUCUGAUUUUUCUCACAGGACCUCCACCAAAUUUGAAUUCCAUAAAGAGAACUUCUAAUUUUCGACUAACAAAUGGCAGAUAUAUUCGAUGGCUGGACCCCGAUCCCUAUGUACAGAUAUGUUAAAGAUGAAGUUGACUAUGGAUAGACCACCCGCGACCACUGAAGGUGGAUAUUUUAUAUAAUUUAAGUUUUUUUGUUUGUUUUUCUUUGGUAAGUAUAGAUAAGUUUUGACGAGUAAUGACCUCACAAAAUGUAAUGCUAGCAUCAGGAAAGAUAACUUGUGGGUCCCAAUUUGAUUAGUUUUUUGAUCUAUUAUAUGUUGUCUGUAAAAGAUAGUGGUGAAGGCAUGGAAGGUGGAAACGGAGAAUAAAUUUCACCAACCAUUGGCAUAAUUAUUGGCCCAGAAAUUUAUGUCUUAUAUGGUUACUUUUUUUUCUUUUUCUUUUUUUUUUUUUUGGUUGGUGGGGUAACUGGAUUUCCAAAAGUCCAUGUGCUUCCAAGAUCCAUUACAGCAUCGCCAUGUGAAGAAUCGUAACAAAUUUCUCAUUCUGAUUUGAAACCUCAACGUCAGCUUAUAUAUUAGGUAAAAACUAAUUGAGAUUAUAAUAAAGAUGAGUAAUAGGUAUGACAAAAUGUGUAGAUAAAAAGUGAAUAGUACUUUUGAAUGUGUAAUUUUAAUUUUGAGUAAUGCUAUAUGUAAAAGAUGGGUAUGAUUCUCAAGUGAUGGGUUAUUAAAUAAAGAAAAUCUCAAGUUCACUUGUUCAAUCGUAUAUUUAAUAAGCUUUUAUCAAGAUUUUCUAAAAAUCUUAUUUUAAUCCCACUAAACAAGUGCCUUAAAUCAUACAAUCCACCGUAACAAAACCAAAAAACAUUAGAGAAAUGUUACUUGUACAUCCAUGUUUAUCAUUUGGUUUACAAAAUGCAGAGAUGACAAAAUUUCAUAGGCAGACAGACAAAAACAAAGUUGAAGCAACCUACGAAAUCUUGCUAUCUCCGCAUUCUAUGUUCAUGAACUUGAUCUUACUUCAACAUAGAGAAAUGAAAGAAGACUUCCAUCUCCAAGUUUAAUUCAGACGUAACUCCCUUCUUUUUGUUUUGGGUGUGAAGCAUGUACAAGUAGCAUUUCUCAAACAUUUAUGAUGGCAAACUUUAGUUCAAAAUUGCAUUUUAUCAUUAGUACCGUGUCACCUUUCAUCCAUCAAGUUGAUGUUAGCCUUCCUCAACCCAGUGGAUUCCAACUCAUAGAAGACUUUUGAUAAUUAAAGCUCUUUGUGAUCAUAACAAUUAGUUAGUGGCAAGUUUACUACGCGUAACAUGACUGGAUAAAAUCUUGUACAAUUAUUUAAUUUUAGUUUCUUUUUUAAUNCAAGGUUUCAAAUACAAAAGUGGACAAUACAUUUUUGUCAAUUGUGCAGCUGUAUCUCCAUUUGAGUGGUAGGUUUCCCCAAAAUAAAUACUUUUAUAUUGAGUCGUCAGCAAAAUGGAGCAAGUCAAAUUUAUCAAUUAGCAUCUUGACUAUGUUGAAGUGUAUAUAAACUUCUGAUUAUUUCUUGUUAAGAUAAUUAACUUUUUUUGGUGGUCCACUUAUUUUUAGGCACCCAUUUUCCAUUACAUCCGCCCCUGGUGAUGAUUAUGUGAGUGUUCAUAUUAGAACUCUUGGUGAUUGGACAAGACAACUCAAAGCUGUUUUCUCUGAGGUGAGUUUAGUGGGAAGUAACCUAAUUAUUACUCUAUAAAUCUUUCUUCGACAAGUUUAUUGCUAUAUCUUAUGGAAUUUUCAAUGCAACUAUAAAGACCUGUUUGAGCCCCAUUAUUUCCUCAUUAAAAUGAAAAAUAUGAUCGUUAUCCAUCAUAUCAAAUCACCAUAUUUGACUUUUUAUCUCUUGUGUGGGACACAUAACGGUUAUAUUUUUCAUUGUCAUUUUCACAAUAACGGGGCUCAGAUUAAAUCACUUUUCUGAUGAAAAUUACGGUUUAGACAACAAGAACAAAGAAUUUUAAGCCCAAAUUGAGAACAAUAGUUGAAACCCUUAUGGAAUAUUUGGCACGAAGAAAAGGAAACUAGCCCCCAUUUGGUCUCCAUUUUUGGGAAAUGGAAAUGGGUGGAAUAAUGUUUUGUUGAAAAAUGAGUGGUUGAAAAAGAAUGAAAUUUUUUUGAUUUACGUGUAAUAUUAUUAUAUGAAAGAUUUUGUGGUUGAAAAUAGGAGAGAAAAAUAGAAUGUAAUAGAAUUAAAUUAAUGGGGACCAAACGGGGGCUAUAAUAUUGUCUUUUAUCAUGUACAAUUGUAUUGAAUACAGUUCCCUAACAUAGCCUUAAUGUUUCAACUUUAUAGAUAGAACUUCUGAAAAUUGAAGCAAGCCCAGUACAUGAUAUUAAUUUAACAUAAAAUCUUUGCUUACUUUUUGACAUUAUCAGAGAAUCCAAGAUAUUUAUGUGACAUUGUUAAAUAAUUCUUGGUGGUGGUUAAUUAUUGGACUAAUCUUUUUGGCCUUUAUUAGGUUUGUCAGCCGCCACCUACAGGAAAAAGUGGACUCCUUAGAGCUGACUUUUUGCAGGGAGAGAAUAAUCCCAAGUAAUUUUCCGUAACAAUUUAUGCUGCACUUUUGAUUAAAUUUGUGCACAUUGCAUCUAGGAAACAUUCAAAGAUUGUACUUUUGAAUCAGUCUUUCAUUCAAAAUUCAUUUCUAUUGUGUCACGACCAUGUAGAGUAAAACUUAUUUUCAAAAGAAUAAUGCUGAAUGAACGGGACGACAUGGCCCUGUUAUUGAAGCAAAACUCUUUUCAAAAUUGAUAAAAACUAGUCUUUACGGAUAGUAGUCCUCUCUAAGUUACCUCAUCCGCAACUAUUGUCGCCCUUAAAACUUGCUUAUAAGAGGGCGGGUGCCUAAAUAAUUACUAGUCCGUAAGUCAAGUCUUAACUUCUUGGUGUGGGACUGAAUUGGAGUCUUCGCAUUUUCCUUCUUAAUAAUGUUAGAUUUUCAAGAAAAUGAAUCUAAUUAUGUUGUUAAUUCGACAGUUUCCCGAGAGUGUUAAUUGACGGACCAUAUGGAGCGCCAACUCAAGACUACAAAAAGUAUGAUGUCGUGUUGCUUGUCGGGCUCGGUAUUGGCGCAACACCAAUGAUUAGUGUCAUCAAAGACAUUAUGAACAACAUGAAGGCGAUGGAGGAUCAAGAGAGUAAUGGUUUAGAGGAGGGAACUGGAGGAGCUGCCACCAACAAUCCCUCUUCACCACCCAACGCUAGCCCUUUAACACCGAAUAGAAAGUCGGGAUCAGGGCGUGGACAUAACUUCAGAACUAAUAGGGCAUACUUCUAUUGGGUUACAAGGGAACAAGGUUCUUUUGAUUGGUUCAAAGGAGUUAUGAAUGAAGUUGGUGAAAUGGACCGCAAGGAAGUAAUAGAAAUGCACAAUUACUGCACCAGUGUUUAUGAGGAAGGCGAUGCUCGUUCGGCUCUGAUAACUAUGCUUCAAUCCCUCAACCAUGCCAAAAAUGGAGUAGACAUCGUCUCUGGAACUCGAGUCAAGUCUCACUUUGCCAAGCCUAAUUGGCGUACUGUCUACAAGCGCAUCACCCUUAAUCACCCCAAUAAGACAGUUGGUAAGUUCUCCGAACAAAUCUGAACUUUACGCAGUUCCAUUUACACGCUCUAUAAUACGAGUAGUAGUUAUUUUCGUGUCGAAGAGUUGGACCAAUACUUUAUCAGCAGCCAACUGAGUCCUAUUCCGACAAAUACGUUUCUUAAUGGAGUUUUCUUCCGUUGAUAUUUGCAGGGGUAUUCUAUUGUGGGGCGCCACCACCCGUGAAAGAAUUAAGACAACUUGCCUCUGAUUUUUCUCACAGGACCUCCACCAAAUUUGAAUUCCAUAAAGAGAACUUCUAAUUUUCGACUAACAAAUGGCAGAUAUAUUCGAUGGCUGGACCCCGAUCCCUAUGUACAGAUAUGUUAAAGAUGCAGUUGACUAUGGAUAGACCACCCGCGACCACUGAAGGUG
rnacentral:lncRNA from 1 species